AGUGAACGCUGGCGGUAGGCCUAACACAUGCAAGUCGAACGGCAGCACAGGAGAGCUUGCUCCUUGGGUGGCGAGUGGCGGACGGGUGAGGAAUACAUCGGAAUCUACUCUGUCGUGGGGGAUAACGUAGGGAAACUUACGCUAAUACCGCAUACGACCUACGGGUGAAAGCAGGGGAUCUUCGGACCUUGCGCGAUUGAAUGAGCCGAUGUCGGAUUAGCUAGUUGGCGGGGUAAAGGCCCACCAAGGCGACGAUCCGUAGCUGGUCUGGGAGGAUGAUCAGCCACACGGAAAAUGAGACACGGUCCAGAGUCCUACGGGAGGCAGCAGUGGGGAAUAUUGGACAAUGGGCGCAAGCCUGAUCCAGCCAUACCGCGUGGGUGAAGAAGGCCUUCGGGUUGUAAAGCCCUUUUGUUGGGAAAGAAAUCCAUCUGGUUAAUACCCGGGUGGGAUGACGGUACCCAAAGAAUAAGCACCGGCUAACUUCGUGCCAGCAGCCGCCGUAA
rnacentral:rRNA from 1 species